AGAACAGAACAAGACCAAGCAAAUUGGAUUACUAUGGUGACUGUGUGUCAUGCUGGGCUCUACAGAAGUGAAGUCCACUGUUCCUCCAUUCAGAUUCUUCUUUGUGCCUCCCUCUUUGCAGGCAGUGAUUCAAAUAUCAGCAACUGUUUGUGGAAAGUCUUUCUACAAGAGGGAAAAACUGAACAACGAGGAAAAAAAUGUGAAGUGGCCAUGCAAAAAACGGUCAUGGACAUCUGGACCACCCUUAUCCAGACUGGCAGUGGCUGUGCUUGGAGCUACCACGCCGCUCAGUCACUCUCACAAAGUGGUGCAACUGGUUCUUCUUAAUCUUGUACUAAAAGCUGGAAAGGGACAAGAGCUGCGCGAUGAUAUGGAAUGAAUGCACCUUUGUAAUCUACCCAUCUAGCCAAGGUAUGUAUAAGGCACCCAUUACCUAGAUUUCUAAGCUUCGAAGAGGAUGCUCAUUAAUAAUGAGAAUGUUCUAGCCCUGGGAAUAGACUGGAUGCGCAGUCUGUACAUUUGUACUCAGCAGCAAGCCACAUGUUGGCAUAAUGUUACUGCGGUUGUGCAGGCUACAUUUAUACCACUUCUGAUGAACACGUUUAGUCUCUCCUCCCCCCACUCAGAGCUAGCAGUGCUGUGGAUCUAGCCUUGGAAUAAAUCAGCCACUUUCCAGAUUGUUAUUCCCCUC
rnacentral:lncRNA from 1 species